rnacentral:lncRNA from 1 species
GAAAAAAAUAACAAGUAUCCACAAAUAUUAAGCAAUAAUAAAGCAGUCGCUGUAAACUUAUGGUAAUUCACCAUUUACGAUUAUCAAAGUAAGAAAUUAAAUUGUAAAAAAUGCAUAUAAAGAAAAUUCAACAAAAUUUCGAAAUGCCACACUAUAUAUUGUUAUCCACCAGACAAUUAAUAAUUCAAAAUAGGCAAACAGGAAUGACAGUCAGCAAGCUCUCGAAAGUAUUGCAACUUAGUGAAAGAACAAUAUAUAGAACAUACAAACAACAUAUGGAGACAGGAACAUUAUUCCAUAGGAAGUCUACUGGCCAUCCUUGAUUAACAUUUCAGAAAGAGGAGGAAGUAUUAAUAAGUAUGAGUGAGGGAGAACCUUUAAAAUGAGCGACAAUGCUUAGAGAAGAGUUGGAAUUAGCUGUAAGCAUUGAUACUAUGAAAAGACGGUAAGUAACCAGUUGAAAAACUACAACAAAAUAUCACAG